rnacentral:rRNA from 1 species
CCUACGGGAGGCAGCAGUGGGGAAUAUUGGGCAAUGGGCGCAAGCCUGACCCAGCAACGCCGCGUGAAGGAUGAAGGUUUUCGGAUUGUAAACUUCUGUCGCGAGGGACGAAGAAUGACGGUACCUCGUAAGAAAGCGCCGGCUAACUACGUGCCAGCAGCCGCGGUAAUACGGAGGGGGCAAGCGUUGACCGGAAUGACUGGGGGUAAAGGGAGUGUAGGCGGCUCAUGAAGGUAGAUGUGAAAUCCCGCGGCUUAACCGUGGAACUGCAUCUGAAACUGGUAAGCUGGAGUGCAGGAGAGGUGAGUGGAAUGCCUGGUGUAGCGGUGGAAUGCGUAGAUAUUAGGAUGAACACCAGAGGCGAAGGCGGCUCACUGGACUGUAACUGACGCUGAGGCUCGAAAGCGUGGGGAGCAAACAGGAUUAGAUACCCGGGUAGUC